rnacentral:rRNA from 1 species
GUUGGGUUAAGUCCCGCAACGAGCGCAACCCCUACUUUUAGUUGCCUCACGUUAAGCUGGGCACUCUAAUAGAACUGCCUGUGAUAAACAGGGAGGAAGUGGGGAUGACGUCAAGUCCUCAUGGCCCUUACGGGUUGGGCUACACACGUGCUACAAUGGUAAGUACAAUGAGAUGCCGAACAGCGAUGUUUAGCCAAACUCAAAAACUUACCUCAGUUCGGAUUGCACUCUGCAACUCGAGUGCAUGAAGCUGGAAUCGCUGUAAUCGGGGAUCACGUGCCCCCGGGAAUACGUUUCCCGGGUCUU